UGUUUUGGGCUUAGAUGUAAUUCUAUUGUUUCUCUUUUUUCUUUUCUUUUCUUGGGGGCUCAAAUUGUAAUUGGACGAUAAGAAAGUUUGUCUUCCUCUUUCUAAUUAUUCUUUUAUUGAAUUAGUGAAUUUUUUAUUGAUAAAAAAAAACUAUAAAGAUCAGGGUUGUACAUUGGAUACAAACACUUGAGCUGUUCCAAAGCUUUGUAGUGAAUGAUAGAAUAAGGGCGUGGAAUGAAGUGGCAAAGUCUUCUCAAGAGAAAGAAAAAAGGUGGUGUUGGAUUGGAAACCUCCAACAAACAAAGUGAAACUAAAUUUUGAAGGGAGCUCCAUGGGAAAUUGGGGAAUGUAGGUAUUGGAGGUGUUUUCGAAGACACUUCAAGCAAGGUGAUGGCUAUUUAUUCGAGACCUAUAGGGGUUGGAGAUUCUCUUAAGGCUUUACUGAUGGCUUUAUUGCAAGGCCUAAGUUUUGCUAAGUAGUCUAACUUUAAGACUUUGGAAGUUGAAGGGGAUUCAAAAUUGGUUGUAUCCUGGACUAUUUCUAGACACUAUGUGCCUUGGAUUUAUAGGAAUGUCCUUGGGGAAGUAGAUAGCAUGUCAAAAGAUUUGAAUGCUACUUUUGUUCGGGUAAGGAGGACUGCAAAUGUUUUGGCCGACACAUUAGCAAAAAAAGGGUCUUCAGGCAAUAAAUGUUUUGGGCAUUAUUGUAAUUCUCUCCAUCUCAGGCUUUGAAUCAUUGUCCACUAUGUUGUUUGGUGGUUGUAUAAUCACUCUGCUAUAAUUUCUGUUUCACAUAUUAAUUCAAUUUUUAAAUUUUCCUGCUGAUAAAUUGUUUUUUCUUGACACCCUAGCUAGGGGCAGCUUCAGCUGGACAACCCCAAAUCAGUGGAGGGGUUCAUAUGCUCUUAAAGGGUUGAAGAUCAAAUUGGUCUUUUUGCUCCCUCUUUGGUUGCAGAUGGAACACACCUCAAGAUAUGUGGUGAGCUUCUUCAACCCAAACUUACAAAGGCAGCUGACAAAAGGGGAAGAACAAUGUGGAAAUCAGUUAGGGCAGCAUUGAUGUGGACUAUAUGGGAGGAGAGAAAUGCAGAAUCUUAAUGAGAUCCAAGGAAGAACUGGUGGAAUCUAUAAAGAUAAAAGUUGCACAUUCGAUAAAAACACUUGAGCUGUUCCAAAGUGGCUGAUAUAUUGCGGGCUUGGAAGGAAGUCACAUAUUCCUCUAAAAAGAUAGAAAAGAUGGGGAUGGAUGGAAUGAAAGUCCCCAGCUCCUAACAAAUUGAAGCUGAAUUUUGAUGGGAACUCUAUAGGAUACCCAUUAUUGGUAGGCAUUGGUGGUGUCUUUAGAGACUCAACAAGUAAAGUGGUGACAUUGUAUUCAGGAUAUAUAGGGGUAGGUGACUCGAUAAAGGAUGAGCUACUAGUACUGCAGGGACUGAAGCUUGUCAAAUAGGCAGAUUUUAAAAAUUUGGAGAUUGAAGGCAACUCAAAACUGGUGAUCUCUUGGUCUGACAACAGGGGUAAUGCUCCUUGGAUAUAUAGAUACUCCUUCAGUGAGAUUGAAAGCCUAGCAAGGCAACUCAAUGCUUCUUUCACAUGGAUCAGAAGGUCUGCAAAUGGGAUGGCUGACCUCUUUGGCAAAACGGGGGGUUUACAGCCAACAACUUUUCUGGGCCUUGUUGUAACACAUAGUGAAGGAACACCUAUGUUAUCUGCUUUUUGUAAUCCUGCAUCUGUUUUUUUCCUCUCAAUUAUUAAUAAAAUUAAUCUUUCCAUGUUGAUAAAAAAGCUAUUAUUCAUGCUGUUGUGUGGAAUAUCUGGGAAGAAAGAAAUAGGAGAGUUUUUGAACACAAUUUCUCGUCCUUGGAGACUCUGCAAGGUCAAGUUCUUGCUCAGAGCUCACCUUUAUAGCUAGUUGAUGAAUAGUAAGGUUUUUACUGUCUUCUAUUUGGGUGACCUGCAAAGAAAUUGGCCUGAGUUGCUGACUCCCCCAGCUGAUCCCCAUUCCCCUGCAAAUAUCACUCCAAGACAGGAGAGUGAGUAUAUUCUAAACUUUGAUGGAAGUUUCAGGAGGAAUUGUGAUGGCUUGUCUGAAGCUGGACUUGGUGGCCUCUUACACAGUUCUAAUGGUAACUUGGUUUGGGUGUGUAGUGGUCCUUCCAAGACAGAUGAUGCUGUGGAAGCCAUUGUUGUUAAGGCGACGCCUAGGCGACA